CCUACGGGUGGCUGCAGUGGGGAAUCUUGCGCAAUGGGCGAAAGCCUGACGCAGCGACGCCGCGUGGGGGAGGAAGCCCUUCGGGGUGUAAACCUCUGUCAGGAGGGAAGAACGGGCACCCGAGGAAAUGCGGGUGUUUUGACGGUACCUCCAAAGGAAGCACCGGCUAACUCUGUGCCAGCAGCCGCGGUAAUACAGAGGGUGCGAGCGUUGUUCGGAAUUACUGGGCGUAAAGCGCGCGCAGGCGGUCCUUUAAGUCUACCCGUGAAAUGCCG
rnacentral:rRNA from 1 species